rnacentral:rRNA from 1 species
AGUUUGAUCCUGGCUCAGGAUGAACGCUAGCGGCAGGCUUAAUACAUGCAAGUCGUGGGGCAGCAGGUUUGUAGCAAUACAGAUGCUGGCGACGGCAAACGGGUGCGGAACACGUACAGAACCUUCCUUUGAGCGGGGAAUAGCCCAGAGAAAUUUGGAUUAAUACCCCAUAGUAUAAUGAAGUGGCAUCACUUUAUUAUUAAAGAUUUAUCACUCGAAGAUGGCUGUGCGGCUGAUUAGGUAGUUGGCGGGGUAAAGGCCCACCAAGCCUGCGAUCAGUAACUGGUGUGAGAGCACGACCAGUCACACGGGCACUGAGACACGGGCCCGACUCCUACGGGAGGCAGCAGUAAGGAAUAUUGGUCAAUGGAGGCAACUCUGAACCAGCCAUGCCCGCGUGGAGGAUGAAGGUCCUCUGGAUUGUAAACUUCUUUUAUAUGGGACGAAAAAAGGCUUUUCUAAGUCGUCUGACGGUACCAUAUGAAUAAGCACCGGCUAACUCCGUG